UACGGAGGAUGCAAGCGUUAUCCGGAAUGAUUGGGCGUAAAGCGUCCGCAGGUGGCUAUGUAAGUCUGCUGUUAAAGAGUGAGGCUCAACCUCAUAAGAGCAGUGGAAACUACACGGCUAGAGUGCGUUCGGGGCAGAGGGAAUUCCUGGUGUAGCGGUGAAAUGCGUAGAGAUCAGGAAGAACACCGGUGGCGAAAGCGCUCUGCUAGGCCGCAACUGACACUGAGGGACGAAAGCUAGGGGAGCGAAUGGG
rnacentral:rRNA from 1 species